AGGAUGAACGCUAGCGGCAGGCCUAAUACAUGCAAGUCGAACGAUACCAGAGAGCUUGCUUUCUGGGAAAGUGGCGCACGGGUGCGUAACGCGUAUGCAACCUACCUUAAUCAGGGGGAUAGCCUCUCGAAAGAGAGAUUAACACCGCAUAAAAUCACACUUCGGCAUCGAAGAAUGAUCAAAUAUUUAUAGGAUUAAGAUGGGCAUGCGUGACAUUAGCUAGUUGGUAAGGUAACGGCUUACCAAGGCUACGAUGUCUAGGGGAUCUGAGAGGAUGACCCCCCACACUGGUACUGAGACACGGACCAGACUCCUACGGGAGGCAGCAGUAAGGAAUAUUGGUCAAUGGGGGCAACCCUGAACCAGCCAUGCCGCGUGCAGGAAGACGGCCCUACGGGUUGUAAACUGCUUUUAUACGGGAAUAAAUCUCGCUACGUGUAGUGAGUUGAAUGUACUGUAAGAAUAAGGAUCGGCUAACUCCGUG
rnacentral:rRNA from 1 species